GGACCUGUAGCUCAGUUGGUUAGAGCAUGCGCUUGAUAAGCGCAGGGUCACUGGUUCAAGUCCAGUCAGGUCCACCA
rnacentral:tRNA from 2 species